rnacentral:rRNA from 1 species
UCGAACGCAGUAGCAAUACUGAGUGGCAAACGGGUGAGUAUAAUGUGGGUAUCUGCCUUUUGGUUUGGAAUAACACGAGGAAACUUGUGCUAAUACCGAAUAAGCCCUUACGGGGAAAGUUUUAACGCCGAAAGAUGAGCCCGCACUUGAUUAGCUAGUUGGUAAGGUAAAGGCUUACCAAGGCAACGAUCAAUAGCUGUUCUUAGAGGAAGACCAGCCACAUUGGGACUGAGACACGGCCCAGACUCCUACGGGAGGCAGCAGUGGGGAAUCUUGCACAAUGGGGGAAACCCUGAUGCAGCGAUGCCGCGUGAGUGAAGAAGGCCUUUGGGUUGUAAAACUCUUUCGUCGGGGAAGAAAAUGACUGUACCCGAAUAAGAAGGUCCGGCUAACUUCGUGCCAGCAGCCGCGGUAAUACGAAGGGACCUAGCGUAGUUCGGAAUUACUGGGUUUAAAGAGCUCGUAGGUGGUUAAAAAAGUUGAUGGUGAAACCCCAAGGCUCAACCUUGGAACUGCCAUCAAAACUUUUUAGCUAGAGUGUGAUAGAGGUAAGCGCAAUUUCUAGUGUACAGUUGAAAU